rfam:Oryza rufipogon genomic scaffold, chr09
AGAUACCGUAGUUUUACAUCGUUUAUAUUCAGCAUUUAACCGUUUAUUUUAUUUUUUAAAUUUUCAUGAUUAGUAUUUUUUUAUUGAUAUUAUAUGAUAGAACAUGAAAAGUAUUUUAUGUGUGACUAUUUUUUUAAAAAAAAUUCUUAAAAUUUUCAAAUAAGACGGACGGUUAAACGUUAUACACGGAAACCUAUAAUUAAU